GCCUGGCAGGGAGAAGUGAAGCCAGAGUCCUAAGGUUCUCCAGGUGUGACUUUGCUCUUGGACAAAGGAUGCUACCCUCUCUCGCAGGUCACCCCAUCCUCAAAGUUGGAGUCUGGCAGUGAACUGCACGGAGUCCCUUCUGUUUCUGCAGGGCCACACCCACGGCAUUUGGACGUCGU